GGGCCCGCACAAGCGGUGGAGCAUGUGGUUUAAUUCGAUGAUACGCGAGGAACCUUACCAGGACUUAAAUGUAAGUUGCAUGAUUCAGAAAUGAAUCUUUCUUCGGACUACUUACAAGGUGCUGCAUGGUUGUCGUCAGCUCGUGCCGUGAGGUGUCAGGUUAAGUCCUAUAACGAGCGCAACCCCUAUCGUUAGUUGCCAUCAAGUAAAGUUGGGAACUCUAGCGAAACUGCCGGUGCAAACCGAGAGGAAGGUGGGGAUGACGUCAAAUCAUCACGGCCCUUACGUUCUGGGCUACACACGUGCUACAAUGGUCGGUACAGAAAGCAGCCACUAUGCGAAUAGGAGCUAAUCUUUAAAACCGAUCUCAGUUCGGAUCGCAGUCUGCAACUCGACUGCGUG
rnacentral:rRNA from 1 species